rnacentral:misc_RNA from 1 species
UUAUUGAAAAAAAAAAAAAAAACUAGUCUUAAUUAAUGCUUUGAUGAUGUAGUUCAAUUAACACCAUCGAGUCCCAACAGUUACUCACAACAGAGAUCUGUUCUGGCAGGAAAGCUCAUCUCUGACAACCGGGUAAGCGCCUGGAUUAUGCACCAGGCUAUGGAAAAGUCCUGCAGGACUCACCAGGCCUUAAAAAACACUUCGAAAAUCAACGCAGAUACCUUCACAUAAUAAUUUUAAAAUGAAAUUCUUUUAGCUUGGUUUUAAAAUUAUAUGACUAUGUUAUAGGUUUAAUUAAAUUUUAGGGACUAAAUUGUAAUUUAUCAUUUGAAUUAUUACAAACAAUAAUUUUCUCCAAUCGCAUCUUGUAGCUUCAAAUUUGAGUGGUAAAAAACAGAGUGCAUACUCUAAAACGAGAUUCUUUCAAUUUUAAAUUUCAUAAAAAGCACUUUGAAAAUUAAUUUGCAUUUUCUUAUAUUCAAGAAAUUAAUUUUGAAAUUGAAGGUCCCAGGACUAGGAUGGUAAAAGUUAUGUAUUUUUACAUAAUAAUAGUUAGGAAAAAUAAAUUCUAUAAAACUGUAUAGAGAGACAGAGAGAGAGCCAACAAUGCCACCUUAAAAUUCAUUGUGUGGAUGAUCUAUUUUUUUAUUUAAAAUCCCAAAUAUAUAUAUAUGUAUGCUUUUAAUAGCAUAAUUUUGUGGUAAUUUUUAAUUGAGCAAUAGGAUAAAAAAGCACUUAACGUCUUUAUCAAUUUACAAUUUUAUCGUAGCAUUUUAAUUUUGAUUUUGAUAGUUUAACCUUUGAAAUCAAUUAUAUCCAUUUUCUAAAAUUAGAUUUGCAAUUAAUAUAAAAGUCUAACGUUUACGUUAAUUUGUAAUUAUAGUCAAACUUUGUAAUUUUGGAUAAAAUUAAUUCUAAUAAUUUAGUAUAAUUAUAGCUAAAGCUUAA